rnacentral:rRNA from 1 species
CCUACGGGUGGCAGCAGUGGGGAAUAUUGGACAAUGGGGGGAACCCUGAUCCAGCCAUGCCGCGUGUGUGAAGAAGGCCCUCGGGUUGUAAAGCACUUUCAGUGAGGAAGAACGCCUGGUGGUUAAUACCCAUCAGGAAAGACAUCACUCACAGAAGAAGCACCGGCUAACUCCGUGCCAGCAGCCGCGGUAAUACGGAGGGUGCGAGCGUUAAUCGGAAUUACUGGGCGUAAAGCGCGCGUAGGUGGCUUGAUAAGCCGGUUGUGAAAGCCCCGGGCUCAACCUGGGAACGGCAUCCGGAACUGUCCAGCUAGAGUGCAGGAGAGGAAGGUAGAAUUCCCGGUGUAGCGGUGAAAUGCGUAGAGAUCGGGAGGAAUACCAGUGGCGAAGGCGGCCUUCUGGACUGACACUGACACUGAGGUGCGAAAGCGUGGGUAGCAAACAGGAUUAGAUACCCCAGUAGUC